rnacentral:rRNA from 1 species
UACAGAGGUCUCAAGCGUUGUUCGGAUUCAUUGGGCGUAAAGGGUGCGUAGGUGGCGGGGCAAGUCCGCUGUGAAAGUCCAGGGCUCAACCCUGGAAUGCCGGUGGAAACUGUCGGGCUAGAGUCCGGAAGAGGCGAGUGGAAUUCCUGGUGUAGCGGUGAAAUGCGCAGAUAUCGGGAGGAACACCAAUUGCGAAGGCAGCUCGCUGGGACGUUACUGACGCUGAGACGCGAAAGCGUGGGGAGCAAACAGG